rnacentral:rRNA from 1 species
UACGUAGGGCGCAAGCGUUAUCCGGAAUUAUUGGGCGUAAAGAGCUCGUAGGCGGUUUGUCGCGUCCGCUGUGAAAUCUCGGGGCUUAACCCCGAGCCUGCAGUGGAUACGGGCAGACUAGAGGUAGGUAGGGGAGAAUGGAAUUCCCGGUGUAGCGGUGAAAUGCGCAGAUAUCGGGAGGAACACCGGUGGCGAAGGCGGUUCUCUGGGCCUUACCUGACGCUGAGGAGCGAAAGCGUGGGGAGCGAACAGG